ensembl:lincRNA
GCCUGGCCUUGGGCGCGGCAGCCGACCCGACCGCGGGAAGAUGGCGUCGGCUGUAGACGCACCUUGCCCGCGGGUGGGGCGGCAGUCCGCAUCCCGGAGGCUGGAAGCGAGCUUGGGCUGGUCGUGAGUUUUCCCUUGCCUCGAGUUAACCCUGAGGCACGUCUCCCGGACUGGGAGAAACGCGCUGCCCGUGUCUCGCCCUUUCCUUCGCGUCCCGUGACUGCCCCGAGGGCGCAGACGCGUGGUCCGAGAACCUGGGGGUUCGCUCCUGGAGGCGUAGGGACAGGUCAGACGCCAGAGCCACGGUCGGUGACAGCGAGGGGACGAGGAGGCUCUGCCGCGACCCUACCCUCAGACUUCUUUCUCCCGACUCUUGGAAGAAGCACCCGGUAGCUAGAGCCAGGCCUCUCCCGAGAACGCAAGCGCGGAGUCCCAGGGCAGGCUUCUAAUGUGAGGAAAAACACGGAAUGACAAGUGUGGGAAAGAGCAAGCACUAAAUUACUGUCAGAAAAAUAAACGGAGUAGCACAGUGGUGCUCAGUGAUUUACGGGGGCAAUUAGUCACCACCCCACGGCACUGCUGAGGACAGCAUGGCAGCAGACACGUCAGGCCCAUGAGGAAGAAGAGGCUUUGCGCUGCUCUCCAGACAACUUUUCAAACAACACAAGAAUCUGAGUACAUUAGGUUCCAUGUCUUCAGUCUGGGGUCUGGAUCAAUGUCUCUCCUGGAAAUCAAGCUAGCAGGGACUCAUCUCUCCACGUUUCAUUACAGUGUUCAUCUUCAAUACAGAAGAAACGGUAAGCAACAGCAGACUUUUCAAAUGAAAACUCUGGUUUGGAUGAUUAUUAAAUACCUUCUUUUGUGUCAUACUGAGAAAAAUCAUUGAACACUCUCCUCAUCCCUUACAUGAAAUUAUUAGAAGCUAGCUAGAGAUCCAGAUAGAGUGGACAUCUAGCCAUCAUACUCAAGCUAAUGAUCUUCCUGAUUUUCCAACUUCCAUCAAUGACACAACCACCAUCCUAAUUACUUAUGUCUAUGGACAUCUAAUUUCUAAAGAUUCAUCCUUUUUUGUUCCUCUGAAAUAUGGCUAGACCUCUUCACAUCCACAUCAGUAUCACUUCAGUGCAGGUCCACAGUGCCAAAUCACCAUAUGCAUUUCAACUCAUUUUUCUGUCACUGCAGUGCAGCUAACAUAGUGCCUUAUAGUUACCUAUGUGGGCUGGGCACUAUGCUAAGUGUUCUAUAUGUGUGGCUGUUAAUUCUGAGUAGUCAACUUUAUUGAAUUAAGAAAUGCCUAGGAGCUUAGAAAAGUACCCUCUUUCAUGUGUCUGGGUGGGUGGGACAUGGAGAUGUGGCCUUGGGGACCAUAUAUGAUCCCUACCCUGCUGCUCUCCAGCACUGUUCUCCUCCUCUGCUUUCUGGCCACCAUGAACUAAGCAGCUUUGCUCUGCCACAACCUUCUGUUUCUGACUUGGAGCCUACCAGCCAUGUACUAAUUCUCCAGAAACUGUGAGCUAAAUUAAAUGUUUCCCCCUUUAAAUUGUGGGUGUCAGGCAUUGUGUCUCUCUGAAAGAAAUGCUAACUAAUACACAUGGGUCAUUUCAUUUGAUAAAAACAACAUGCUAAAAGGUAGAUACAUUUUAAUGACAAAUUUUACAUACUUUGCUCAUAAUCACAGCUGAAGGAGCUGGGCCCAGUUGCAUUUAUGGUCCUAAUUUUUCAUCCUUUCAUGUGUUCUUGCCUUUUGCUUUGUGACUAAUUUCCUGAAAACAGGUGGGAUCUAUUUCCCUGAAUUGAUUCUGAGCUUAGUCAUGGUCACUUGCUUUAGCUGAUGAGAUUAUAGCCGAUAUAUUAAAAACAGAAGCUUAAAGAAAUACUUAUAUAUUUCUGUUUGUAAUUUUGUCCUCUCCCCUGAGCAUAAAGAAAAACAUGUCCAGCCCAGCUGUUGGAGGAGGAAAGACCCAUUGAUUAGAUCCAAGUCAUCUUAGUUGCCAAGCCUCGAUCACCUAUGAUCAGCUUAUAAACAGCCAACAUCCAGACUUGUGAGACCAGCCAAGACAGGAGAAUUGCCAAGCUGCCUGAGCUCCAAAAGCCAUUAUACCAUGAUUUAAAAUCAUUUUCCUGUUAAAACCCAGGCCACAGACUAGGUAACCAAUCUACCUGUAUUGACUUGAGCUCUUCACAGAGAGAUAGAACCAAUAAGAUAGAUGUAGAUAUGUGAGGGUGGAUUUAAAAGGGGAAUUGGUUUAUAUGAUUAUGGAGGGUAAGAAGUCCCACAUUUAAAAAAUAAUUUAAUCAAAUGAAGAAAUUACAUGAAAAGGAAAUACAACUCAUCAAAAUUUGUGACAUGCAAUAAAAAUACUACUUAAAGGAAUAUUUAUAGCAUUGAAUGCAGAUACUAAAAAUGAAGAAAGAUCUAGAAUCAAUAAUUUAAGUAUUCAUUUUGGGAAAAUAGAAGAGAAAAUGAAACGCAACAUAAGAAGUAGAAAAACAACAGUAAAAAACCAGAGCAGAAAUCAAUAAAUUACAGGUUCUUAAAAUAGAAAAAUUAAUGAAAUAAAAAGCGGAUCCUUUGAAAAGACCAAGACAACUGGUAAGCUUGGUGUCUUUAUUUUUUAUGGUACUGGGGAUUGAACCCACUCCCUUGCACAUUAUAGGUAAGUUCUCUACCAUUGAGCUACAUCUCCAGCCAUCUUUCUUUAUAUCUUUUUUUUUAAGAAAGAGACUAGUUAUGAAUAUCAGAAAUGAAUGAAGAGACAUCCAGGAGUGGUGGCACAUGCCACCACUGAAGGAGGCUGAAACAGGGGGUUUGCCAUGAGUUUGAGGCCAGCCUGAGCUACAUAGAAAAAAAAAAAAGAAAUAAACAGCAAUGAAAGAAAGGACUCACUGCUCACCCCAUGAACAUUAAGAGGAUAAUAAAGGAAGACUAUGAACGAUACUAUGCCCACAAAUUUGUUAACCUAAAUAAAAUGGGAAAAUUCUUUGAAAAACAUAAUCUACCACGGCUAUCUGUAAGAAGAAUCUAAGUAGGCCCAUGUCUAUUAAAGAAAUUUAAGCAAUAAUUAUAAAAACUUUUACAAAGAGAAAUCACAAUGGCUGGAUGGGUUCACUAGUAAAUUCUACCAGACUUUUAAGGAAUAAAUUAUAGCAAUUCUCUAUAAUCUCCUUCAGAGGCAGAAGUAAGACUAUUUCCUAAUUCAUUCUAUGAGGCCACCAUUACCCUCUUAACAAAACUAAACAAAGGCAUUGCAAGAAAAGAAAACUACAGACUGAUACCUCAUGAAAACAGAUGCAAAAAUCCUCAACAAAAUAUUAGCAAAAAAUCAAGUCCAGUGAUGUACAGACAGGACUGGGUCAUGCUCAGUGGUAGAGUAAUUGACUACUAGUAUGAGAGAAGUCCUGUAUUUGAUCCUAGCAAUGCACACAUGCACACAUACACACACAUACACACAUUCACAGAUGUCCACUUAUUCUAUCACCUGUCUAAUAACCUAUCUACUUACCUAUAUACAUAGCUCAUAAUGGCAUGAAAUGUACCCCAAGGUUUGCUAGGCUGGUUCAAUAUAUGAAAAUCAAUUAACAUAGCUCUUCAACAAACUAAAGAAGAAAAAAAUCACAUGAUCAUCUUUUUUUUUCACAUGAUCAUCUUAAUAGAUG